UACGAAGGGGGCUAGCGUUGUUCGGAUUUACUGGGCGUAAAGCGCACGUAGGCGGAUCGUUAAGUCGGGGGUGAAAUCCUGGAGCUCAACUCCAGAACUGCCUUCGAUACUGGCGAUCUUGAGUCCGGAAGAGGAGAGUGGAAUUCCUGGUGUAGCGGUGAAAUGCGCAGAUAUCAGGAAGAACACCAAUGGCGAAGGCAGCUCUCUGGGACGGUACUGACGCUGAGACGCGAAAGCGUGGGGAGCGAACAGG
rnacentral:rRNA from 1 species